rnacentral:rRNA from 1 species
GUGCCAGCAGCCGCGGUAAUACGUAGGCAGCAAGCGUUGUUCGGAGUUACUGGGCGUAAAGGGUGUGUAGGCGGUUCUCUAAGUUUGGUGUGAAAUCUCCCGGCUUAACCGGGAGGGUGCGCCGAAAACUGGGGAGCUAGAGUGCGGGAUGGGUAAGUGGAAUUCCUGGUGUAGCGGUGAAAUGCGUAGAUAUCAGGAGGAACACCUGUGGUGUAGACGGCUUACUGGACCGCAACUGACGCUGAGACACGAAAGCGUGGGUAGCAAACAGGAUUAGAUACCCCGGUAGUCC